AUGGCGAGUCAGGAUCAGCAACGUAAUCCUUGCGACACAGAUUCAGAAAACACUAGUUUAAAUAAUUCAAGUCUCGGCUCUAAGGGUGUAAAUAACUCGGGGUCCGUCGGGCUCAGGCUGAAAUGCAGGGCUCUAGUGUCUGUUGUUGAACCACAGGGAGACGUUCCUUGAACGGCUGGUAGCACUGGUAAUUGGUCGCACUCUAGAGCCCUGUUAUAUUGUCACAUAUUUUUUAUAAUCCUAUACUGCCCAAAAUGCCUGGGAUUUUCCCAAAAUAACCACUAUAUGAAGUCAAGAUAUAUUUUUGUUGUUGAUAUGGACUAAGUUGAUGAGAAUGAUGUAGUAAUGUUCACUGUGAAGCACAGUUAUAUAUGACAUGAGAAUAAGGCCUUUAGUUAGGAAGAACAUUUUAAGGAAAAUAUAAUUAUAUUUUCAUAAUGAUUUUUUUCUUCUCAAACCUUGUCUGUGGUGUAAAAAACAACAACAACAAAAAACACCCCUGGCCAAAUGCCCCCAGAGGGCAUCACUUCCCACUUUGAUAAUUACUGUAGUUACCAUGUUCUGAACAUCACAUCCUUUCUUUUUCCCCCAGAUGUAAUCUAUCUAGGAGGUGGUUGAAUAAAAAUAUUUAGACUUUAUAUCUAAAAAUUACCCCAACUUAUCACCAGCAAGCUUGUUAGUUAGACAGUUAGCAUAAGCUAACAGUAUUUAAAAGGUUCAUUGAAAAGAAUCAGUUCGUUCUUGAAUCAGACACCGCUUCUGCGUGUCGGAGCACGUGAUAUAGCCUAUUAUAAGGAGUAACGAUAUGUUUUAUGAAAUGUAGUGAAGUAAACAGUACGAUCUUAUGUAAAGUAAAGCUACUCUGUUACUGACCACCACUGCUGAUGCUAUUACACUCUUUAUGUUUCUGAAAUAAAAAGGAUCUGAAUUCUUCUAAAACCCACUUGCUAAACUUAUGCCUACCACUAUCAUCGUCCACUAUCCCUGCAAAAAUUGCCAAAGCACGAAAAAAGACCUCGCCACACGUCAUGAAUCCAAUUCCACUCACGUUUCUCCUCUUUUGUAGUUUUUAUUGGGGUUAAGGCAGUUUUGUUAUUAAACUUUUCUGCACUGCAUUUGUUAGAAAUAAAAGCAAUAUGCAGUCCUCCAAUGGGCCCUAUUUAGCCUAACUCAUAGACUCUGCUCAGCAUCACAUUCAACAAAACAGAAAAAAAAACAAUACAUGUCAAAACAGAACGUAAAACAAAGGAAUUCAUAGCAAAAUGGAACCCAUAAACUACCACCAAACGACCACUGCAAAUCUACUUGUUCUUCUUGUCAGAAGUAGCGCAUUAGCCUACACGAAAGAGAAGGUUUCAGUUUACUGUCGGGGAUUCGUCUGUCGUCGUUCCGCGCCGCUUCCACGCUAUCAAUGAUACUGUCGCGUCGCUCACGCCCGGUGUAGACACAAUGUAACAUAAAGAAGCAUACAGUUUUUUUUCUUCAUCGGCGCGCGACAUACUGGUGCGUAAUAGUAUUAAUGCGUAGCAUGUAAUAGCAACUCUCUAAAUCCCAAAUUAAGACGAAUCAAACGGUACACUACCACGGUCAUCAAAAUACUGUCCCUCGCCGUCCAGUCAAAGUGGUAUCCAAUUUGGGUGGGUGUGUAAAAGUUCUGUGCUCUUUUAGUUCCUUGUUCAGUGCCUUUCUGUAAUUGUUUAAGUUUCAGAUAACGCAACACUUUUUAACUGUUUGGGCUACUCUGAGCGCGCUCCAUCUGCAGCUACGUCUUCCGUCUCACUAACUGAUACUGUUAUACAGCGUUCAUGGCUCAAGAGCAAGCUCGGUCUCCGCCUCCAAAGGAAAAAAAAAAGAUAAAAUAAAUAAUAAACAGGGCCGGUGCUAGCCAUUUGGGUGCCCUAAGCACAAAUGCUUGGCGGUGCCCCCCCCCCCCCCUCCCCAACCAACCACCCACCCACCCACCAACCAAAGAAAUAACUACCAUUCAGAAUUUCUUAGUUAGGUUCUCUUUACUUCCAAAAUAACUGCUGCAAAUGAAUAAUUGGAACUGAACAAUGUAAACACAGAAAGUUAAAAGUUCAAAAAAAGUUUAGUGCAAAUAACAGUAUAAGUGUAUGAAUUUUAUGAAGUAUGAAUUUUAAAGUGCACAUUUUAAACUGCAAAUAAUCAUGCAUAACUGCACAGUAGAAAUUACUCAACAGAGGGAAUACAUCUCUAUAAAGAGACCAUUCUGCUAUUCUAUAGAACUAUAUUAAACAUUUUCACUACCAUCAGUUGUCAGAGGCCCUACAGAGGCACACGCCUACAUUUCCUAGCUGCAAAAUCAGCUAUCAGGUCAUCAUAUGACAGUUUCUGAGCCACGUCCCCAUUGAUGCUGAUGACAGCCAGACCACUUAAACGUUCCUGCCCCACUGACGAACGCAGGUACGUUUUGAUGAGUUUGAGCUUUGAAAUAUAUAUAAUUUAUAUAUACAAAAUAAUUAUACACAGUACACACACAUAUAUCAUGUAGACACAAACUUUUUAUUUUGGAUGCGAUUAAUCGAGAUUAAUCUUUUUCCCAGCCCUAAUAAUUUGACAACUCUGUGAAUAUGAAAAAUAUACAAACACUGAGAUUGUGGGGGUUUUUCUAAUUGCAUUUUCACCAACAGAUGUCAGCCCUUGGCCGAACCUCUUGAAAAUGACCGCAUGCCAUAGUACAACAACGAAAAAAAUCUUUAUCUAAGCGGUCUAAUUUGGCAAAAAUCACAUCACGUUCAGUUGCAGGGUUUUUUUCUAAAGUUCAGACUGAGGCAGAUAGACAUUGUAUUGAAGCGAAGAAAUUACAAUAGGGAACGUUCUGCACUAAUAGCUAUAUGCACACGUGACACAUCUGUAACGUACGGGGAAAAAUUAGCUUUAUUUUUCAUUCAAAUAUGACGAUGAGGACCCCAACGAUUGGCCUUCCUUUCCUGCUCAAACAAACUGCAUCUUUAACAGCCCAAGUUUCACAAUUUCCCCGGACCCCGUUAAAAAUAAAAAGACA
ensembl:lncRNA